GGAGUCUGGGCCGUGUCUCAGUCCCAAUGUGGCCGUUCACCCUCUCAGGCCGGCUAUGGAUCGUCGCUUUGGUGGGCCGUUACCCCGCCAACUGGCUAAUCCAACGCGGGUCCAUCCCAUACCACCGGAGUUUUUCACACAGGGUCAUGCGACCUCGUGCGCUUAUGCGGUAUUAGCAGACAUUUCUGUCUGUUAUCCCCCGGUAUGGGGCAGGUUCCCCACGCGUUACUCACCCGUCCGCCACUAAGAUCAAAUUCACUUCAACCGAAGUCUCUGUAAAAAUGAUCUCCGUUCGACUUGCAUGUGUUAGGCACGCCGCCAGCGUUCAUC
rnacentral:rRNA from 1 species